rnacentral:rRNA from 1 species
AGAGUUUGAUCAUGGCUCAGAUUGAACGCUGGCGGCAGGCCUAACACAUGCAAGUCGAGCGGUAGCACAGAGAGCUUGCUCUCGGGUGACGAGCGGCGGACGGGUGAGUAAUGUCUGGGAAACUGCCUGAUGGAGGGGGAUAACUACUGGAAACGGUAGCUAAUACCGCAUAACGUCGCAAGACCAAAGAGGGGGACCUUCGGGCCUCUUGCCAUCAGAUGUGCCCAGAUGGGAUUAGCUAGUAGGUGGGGUAAUGGCUCACCUAGGCGACGAUCCCUAGCUGGUCUGAGAGGAUGACCAGCCACACUGGAACUGAGACACGGUCCAGACUCCUACGGGAGGCAGCAGUGGGGAAUUUUGGACAAUGGGGGCAACCCUGAUCCAGCCAUGCCGCGUGAGUGAAGAAGGCCUUCGGGUUGUAAAGCUCUUUCGGUGGGAACGAAACGGUUACGACUAAUACUUGUGACUACUGACGGUACCUACAGAAGAAGCACCGGCUAACUACGUGCCAGCCGCCGCGGUAAUUC